CACGUAGGGCGCAAGCGUUGUCCGGAAUCAUUGGGCGUAAAGAGCGUGUAGGCGGCCCGGUAAGUCCGCUGUGAAAGUCCAGGGCUCAACCCUGGGAUGCCGGUGGAUACUGUCGGGCUCGAGUCCGGAAGAGGAGUGUGGAAUUCCUGGUGUAGCGGUGAAAUGCGCAGAUAUCAGGAGGAACACCAAUGGCGAAGGCAGCACUCUGGGACGUGACUGACGCUGAGACGCGAAAGCGUGGGGAGCAAACAGG
rnacentral:rRNA from 1 species